GGGNGGGGNNCUAAACUGCAAGUCGAACGAGCUUCCGUUGAAUGACGUGCUUGCACUGAUUUCAACAAUGAAGCGAGUGGCGAACUGGUGAGUAACACGUGGGGAAUCUGCCCAGAAGCAGGGGAUAACACUUGGAAACAGGUGCUAAUACCGUAUAACAACAAAAUCCGCAUGGAUUUUGUUUGAAAGGUGGCUUCGGCUAUCACUUCUGGAUGAUCCCGCGGCGUAUUAGUUAGUUGGUGAGGUAAAGGCCCACCAAGACGAUGAUACGUAGCCGACCUGAGAGGGUAAUCGGCCACAUUGGGACUGAGACACGGCCCAAACUCCUACGGGAGGCAGCAGUAGGGAAUCUUCCACAAUGGACGAAAGUCUGAUGGAGCAAUGCCGCGUGAGUGAAGAAGGGUUUCGGCUCGUAAAACUCUGUUGUUAAAGAAGAACACCUUUGAGAGUAACUGUUCAAGGGUUGACGGUAUUUAACCAGAAAGCCACGGCUAACUACGUGCCAGCAGCCGCGGUAAUACGUAGGUGGCAAGCGUUGUCCGGAUUUAUUGGGCGUAAAGCGAGCGCAGGCGGUUUUUUAAGUCUGAUGUGAAAGCCUUCGGCUUAACCGGAGAAGUGCAUCGGAAACUGGGAGACUUGAGUGCAAAAGAGGACAGUGGAACUCCAUGUGUAGCGGUGGAAUGCGUAGAUAUAUGGAAGAACACCAGUGGCGAAGGCGGCUGUCUAGUCUGUAACUGACGCUGAGGCUCGAAAGCAUGGGUAGC
rnacentral:rRNA from 1 species